AUGCCUUAAACUAAUGAGUAAGGAAAAAUAACAUUCCGAUGGAAUAGUCGGAUUGCUGGACUAUUACCAGAUCAAUGUUUGAAGGGUAAAGGCCUUCUCAGCUUGGCUCCUUACUUCCGGAGCUGAGCUCGAUGAUAUUGGUCUGCCC
rnacentral:snRNA from 1 species